UACGUAGGGUGCGAGCGUUAAUCGGAAUUACUGGGCGUAAAGCGUGCGCAGGCGGUGAUGUAAGACAGGUGUGAAAUCCCCGGGCUUAACCUGGGAAUGGCAUUUGUGACUGCACGGCUAGAGUGUGUCAGAGGGGGGUAGAAUUCCACGUGUAGCAGUGAAAUGCGUAGAUAUGUGGAGGAAUACCGAUGGCGAAGGCAGCCCCCUGGGAUAACACUGACGCUCAUGCACGAAAGCGUGGGGAGCAAACAGG
rnacentral:rRNA from 1 species